rnacentral:rRNA from 1 species
UGAACGCUAGCGACAGGCUUAACACAUGCAAGUCGAGGGGUAACAGGGUAGCAAUACCGCUGACGACCGGCGCACGGGUGAGUAACGCGUAUGCAACCUGCCUAUAACUGGGGAAUAGCUCCCUGAAAGGGGAAUUAACACCGCAUAACACUAUUGAUUCGCAUGGAUUGGUAGUUAAAUGUAGCGAUACAGGUUAUAGAUGGGCAUGCGUGACAUUAGCUAGUUGGUGAGGUAACGGCUCACCAAGGCUACGAUGUCUAGGGGUUCUGAGAGGAAGGUCCCCCACACUGGUACUGAGACACGGACCAGACUCCUACGGGAGGCAGCAGUGAGGAAUAUUGGUCAAUGGGCGCAAGCCUGAACCAGCCAUGUCGCGUGCAGGAAGACUGCCCUAUGGGUUGUAAACUGCUUUUAUAGUAGAAGAAACACAUCUACGUGUAGAUGUCUGCCAGUAUACUAUGAAUAAGCAUCGGCUAACUCCGUG